CUACGGGCUGCUCCAGUGGGGAAUAUUGGACAAUGGGGGAAACCCUGAUCCAGCAAUGCCGCGUGUGUGAAGAAGGCCUGCGGGUUGUAAAGCACUUUCGGUUGGGAGGACUGCUUCUAGCACUAAUAUUGUUGGAAGUUGACGUUACCUUCAGAAGAAGCACCGGCUAACUCCGAGCCAGCAGCCGCGGUAAUACGGAGGGUGCAAGCGUUAAUCGGAAUUACUGGGCGUAAAGCGCGCGUAGGCGGCUAGAUCAGUCGGGUGUGAAAGCCCCGGGCUUAACCUGGGAACUGCAUCCGAUACUGUCUAGCUUGAGUACAGGAGAGGAGAGUGGAAUUCCACAUGUAGCGGUGAAAUGCGUAGAUAUGUGGAGGAACACCAAUGGCGAAGGCAGCUCUCUGGCCUGAUACUGACGCUGAGGUGCGAAAGCGUGGGGAGCAAACGGGAUUAGAUACCCCGGUAGUC
rnacentral:rRNA from 1 species